CAAUGGCGGUCAACAGAGGGAAGCAAAACCGCGAGGUGGAGCAAAUCCCUAAAAGCCGUCCCAGUUCGGAUCGCAGGCUGAAACCCGCCUGCGUGAAGUUGGAAUCGCUAGUAAUCGCGGAUCAGCAUGCCGCGGUGAAUACGUUCCCGGGCCUUGUACACUCCGCCCGUCACACCAUGAGAGUCGGGAACACCCGAAGUCCGUAGUCUAACAGCAAUGGGGCGCGGCCGAAGGUGGGUUCGAUAAUUGGGGUGAAGUCGUAACAAGGUACC
rnacentral:rRNA from 1 species